rnacentral:rRNA from 1 species
CCUACGGGAGGCUGCAGUGGGGAAUAUUGCACAAUGGGCGCAAGCCUGAUGCAGCCAUGCCGCGUGUGUGAAGAAGGCCUUCGGGUUGUAAAGCACUUUCAGCGGGGAGGAAGGCGGUGAGGUUAAUAACCUCAUCGAUUGACGUUACCCGCAGAAGAAGCACCGGCUAACUCCGUGCCAGCAGCCGCGGUAAUACGGAGGGUGCAAGCGUUAAUCGGAAUUACUGGGCGUAAAGCGCACGCAGGCGGUCUGUCAAGUCGGAUGUGAAAUCCCCGGGCUCAACCUGGGAACUGCAUUCGAGACUGGCAGGCUAGAGUCUUGUAGAGGGGGGUAGAAUUCCAGGUGUAGCGGUGAAAUGCGUAGAGAUCUGGAGGAAUACCGGUGGCGAAGGCGGCCCCCUGGACAAAGACUGACGCUCAGGUGCGAAAGCGUGGGGAGCAAACAGGAUUAGAUACCCGAGUAGUC